rnacentral:pre_miRNA from 1 species
CAAGUACUUCCUCCGUCCGGAAUUACUUGUCGGAGAAAUGGAUGUGUCUAGACGUAUUUUAGUUCUAGAAAUCGAUGUAUCUAGACGUAUUUUAGUUCUAGAAAUGGAUCUGCGACAAGUAUUUCUGGAUGGAGGGAGUAGUAA